rnacentral:lncRNA from 1 species
GAAAUGUCUGUGAGAUGAGAGAGUGCUUGGAAAGGAAGGGAGACUCUCCAGAGCAAAGGGACACACAGGGAGGGGAGCCCAGCAAUGGGAGCAUCUGUGGCACAGUGCAGACUGCUGAGAAGGAACAGGGACAGACAAACUGACAAAAGUGCAGUGUCAGAGACUUCUCCUGCUGCAUAGAGAGGACUGUACAAUCUUCUAAAACACAGAAAGUGGCCGAGUCAGAAUUAAGGAGCCUAAGAGGAUUUAUUCACUAAAACCACAGCAGUGUCUGUGUGGCAGGACUUUACCCCAUGAGAAAGGAUGGCCCAUGGGAGUGGCAGGUGUGUGACACACAGAGGGACACUGGCCAUCCUGUUACUGCUGCCACUGUAGGAGGCAUGAGAAGCCCUCCAGAACGUGGAUACUUCAAAAUAAUCUCAGCUCAGGCAAUUGAAAGGCAGCUUUAAAUGAUGAGGUUAAAAUAACACUGGCUGGUGCUAUCCACAAAGACCUGCACAUAUCUUACUGAAGUGCAGCCAAGAUCCAGCCAUCAGAAUCUGUAGUCAGAUAAAAGUCACAGGCAAAGGCCUGAUGGAAUAUUUUGUCAUUAGAGAAUUAAAGAAUAGUAAUUUCUAUGGGAAAAGUAAUUGUAAGCAUAUUUACAAAUAACUUAUCUCCGUAUUUAGUAGGGUGGAGAGUGUUCCCCCUUCCAAUUAUAUUCGACAUAAAAUAAUUAUUUUUCUUUUAAGAGCACAUCUAGUAAAAUGAAUAUGAAAAAGCUGUCAGGCAUGCAAUUGCAAUGGUACAGAAUGAAAAGCUGGGAAGUGAAAAAGAUGGCAUAUUGAGAGAGACAUCUAAUUUCUGAGUCCUGAAGUUAAACUUGGCUGCACAUUGCACUCUUAAAAAUAAUAGCAGAAAGGGAAGAAGAAAAUAAAUCGGAUAGAAUUUGUCA